CUACCAUGCAGUCGAGCGGCAGCACAGGGAGUUUACUCCUGAGGUGGCGAGCGGCGGACGGGUGAGUAAUGCCUAGGGAUCUGCCCAGUCGAGGGGGAUAACAGUUGGAAACGACUGCUAAUACCGCAUACGCCCUACGGGGGAAAGGAGGGGACCUUCGGGCCUUCCGCGAUUGGAUGAACCUAGGUGGGAUUAGCUAGUUGGUGAGGUAAUGGCUCACCAAGGCGACGAUCCCUAGCUGUUCUGAGAGGAUGAUCAGCCACACUGGGACUGAGACACGGCCCAGACUCCUACGGGAGGCAGCAGUGGGGAAUAUUGCACAAUGGGGGAAACCCUGAUGCAGCCAUGCCGCGUGUGUGAAGAAGGCCUUCGGGUUGUAAAGCACUUUCAGUAGGGAGGAAAGGGUGUAGUUUAAUACGCUAUAUCUGUGACGUUACCUACAGAAGAAGGACCGGCUAACUCCGUGCCAGCAGCCGCGGUAAUACGGAGGGUCCGAGCGUUAAUCGGAAUUACUGGGCGUAAAGCGUGCGCAGGCGGUUUGUUAAGCGAGAUGUGAAAGCCCCGGGCUCAACCUGGGAAUUGCAUUUCGAACUGGCGAACUAGAGUCUUGUAGAGGGGGGUAGAAUUCCAGGUGUAGC
rnacentral:rRNA from 1 species